CAGGUACAGCGGGAUGCCAUGGGGCGACCCAGAGCGGAACCCGAAAACCUGUCUCAGUUCGGAUUGGAGUCUGCAACCCGACUCCAUGAAGCUGGAUUCGCUAGCAAUCGCGCAUCAGCCACGGCGCGGUGAAUACGUUCCCGGGCCUUGUACACACCGCCCGUCAAGCCAUGGGAGCCGGGGGUGCCUGAAGGCCGUGACCGCGAGGAGCGGCCUAGGGUAAAACUGGUGACUGGGGCUAAGUCGUAACAAGGUAUC
rnacentral:rRNA from 1 species